AUUGAACGCUGGCGGCAGGCCUAACACAUGCAAGUCGAACGAGUGGCGGAAGGGUGAGUAAUGUAUGGGAAACUGCCUGAUGGAGGGGGAUAACUACUGGAAACGGUAGCUAAUACCGCAUACCAUCGGAUGUGCCCCGAUGGGAUUAGCUCGUAGGUGGGGUAACGGGUCACCGAGGCGACGAUCCCUAGCUGGUCUGAGAGGAUGCACGACCACACCGGAACGGUGACACGGUCCAGCCUCCUACGGGAGGCAGCAGUGGGGAAUAUUGCACACUGGGCGCAAGCCUGAUGCAGCCAUGCCGCGUGUAUGAAGAAGGCCUUCGGGGUGUAAAGUACUUUCGGCGGGGAGGCGGUAUCCGCAGAAGAAGCACCGGCUAACGCCGUGCCAGCAGCCGCGGUAAUUC
rnacentral:rRNA from 1 species